UACGUAGGGCGCAAGCGUUGUCCGGAAUUAUUGGGCGUAAAGAGCUCGUAGGCGGCCUGUUGCGUCCGCUGUGAAAUCCCGGGGCUCAACCCCCGGGCCUGCAGUCGAUACGGGCAGACUAGAGUGCGGUAGGGGGAGACUGGAAUUCCUGGUGUAGCGGUGAAAUGCGCAGAUAUCAGGAGGAACACCGGUGGCGAAGGCGGUUCUCUGGGCAUGUCCUGACGCUGAGGAGCGAAAGUGUGGGGAGCGAACAGG
rnacentral:rRNA from 1 species